rnacentral:rRNA from 1 species
UACGUAGGUGGCAAGCGUUGUCCGGAAUUAUUGGGCGUAAAGCGCGCGCAGGUGGUUCCUUAAGUCUGAUGUGAAAGCCCACGGCUCAACCGUGGAGGGUCAUUGGAAACUGGGGAACUUGAGUGCAGAAGAGGAAAGUGGAAUUCCAAGUGUAGCGGUGAAAUGCGUAGAGAUUUGGAGGAACACCAGUGGCGAAGGCGACUUUCUGGUCUGUAACUGACACUGAGGCACGAAAGCGUGGGGAGCAAACAGG